rnacentral:rRNA from 1 species
GACGAACGCUGGCGGCGUGCUUAACACAUGCAAGUCGAACGGAAAGGCCCUGCUUUUGUGGGGUUCUCGAGUGGCGAACGGGUGAGUAACACGUGAGUAACCUGCCCUUGACUUUGGGAUAACUUCAGGAAACUGGGGCUAAUACCGGAUAGGAGCUCCUGCUGCAUGGUGGGGGUUGGAAAGUUUCGGCGGUUGGGGAUGGACUCGCGGCUUAUCAGCUUGUUGGUGGGGUAGUGGCUUACCAAGGCUUUGACGGGUAGCCGGCCUGAGAGGGUGACCGGCCACAUUGGGGCUGAGAUACGGCCCAGACUCCUACGGGAGGCAGCAGUGGGGAAUAUUGCACAAUGGGCGGAAGCCUGAUGCAGCAACGCCGCGUGCGGGAUGACGGCCUUCGGGUUGUAAACCGCUUUCGCCUGUGACGAAGCGUGAGUGACGGUAAUGGGUACAGAAGCACCGGCUAACUACGUG